UAAUAAUAAUGAUAAUGAUAAGUAUUAUUAUUGCUAUUAUUUGAAACCCGCUCAAUUGACGAUAGUGCCAUCUACAGGCAACAACUAUGAGAUUAUAGUAUGAACAUUAUUUUCAAUGAGAAUUCCCCGGACAAUAAACAGCUGAUUUAUCCGAAGAAAGUAGGACUCAAACAAUGUUUAGUCUGUUGUGUAUUUAAACUGGUUAAUAAAGAAAAUUAAUUAAAAAAAUAUUUUUCAAACAUACACAUGGAAGAUUGUAUGAUAAUUUAUUCUAUAAAAUUUGUUGUAUUCAUAAAAUACUUGUACAUUUU